rnacentral:tRNA from 1 species
CCCGGCGUAGUUCAAUUUGGCAGAACGGCGGACUGUAGAUCCGCACGUUGGUGGUUCAAAUCCGCCCGCCGGGA